UCCGUAGACCAUUCGUCUUAUUUAAAAUUUUUUUGCAAUUAAUAUUUUUAUUAUUACUAGAUGAUAAAAUAUGAAUAGUACUUUAUACGUGACUAAUUUUUUAGGUUUUUGCACAAAUUUUUUUAAAUAAGACGAAAGGUCAAACGUUGGACAUGAAAAAAC
rnacentral:pre_miRNA from 1 species